UCAUUUGAUAUUAGUAGCAACAAAAAUUCCAUCCGUCGCAAAUUCCGUCGCUACGUCCACCGUCUCUCCUAUCUAUCACAGACUCUCACUCUCAAUACUCUUCAACAAUGGCUUUUCCUUCCUGCAGUUGUAAGACCAAUGCUUGAUUAUUUUGAAUCACCAAAGCAAGUCCCUCAACCUGCUCUAAGUUGUGUGAGUUAAUCGUCGCUUUGCUGUGGUGUUGGUGGCUAUCGGCUACAGGCUAUGUUCUUUUGGAUAGUGUGCUAUUGAAUUUUCAGAUCUUGGUGUUGCUCCGUUUUGGAUCCACAAGGCAGGCUCAAUUUUGGUAACUUCUAUUAAUAGCGUUUGAUUGGUAAUCCAGAAUAAUUAAAUUGUACUGAGUCUGCAUUUUCUUGCUACGUGUAUAUGAAUAACAUUUACAUAUCGCGGUUUAAGAUAUUUGUUAGUUUUCUUUAUUUAUUUGGUUUUUGUCUUAAAAUUAUGAUUCAGUUGCUUUCAAAUGGAUAAUUCUCUCAAAAUCUCAGCUUUUGGUACAAAUACAAGCUAAGAAACUACAAAAAGGAUAAAGGAGAACUUUAGUGUGUGUGUGAGAUCCAAUAAGUUUGGUGCCUUUUGGAUUGGUAUAUUCUCAAUUCUCAUGCUUAUUACCUGCUCUAUUGUAAUCAAAGUGCAACUCCUUAUGUAGAUGUUUUGUUCUUAAUUAAUGAUCUAUAUUUCUGGAUGUCUUUAGUCCUAUGUGGUUCAACUCUUCUAUACUUAGUCAUGGAUAUUAUGUCUCAGUUAAGUGCAUGUGUACAGGGGUGGGAUGUGAUGUUUAUUUUUAUCUGCUUUUUGUCUAAUUGGAGAAUCUGGCAGUGUUAUGAGUUAUGCAGUCUAAUUUGUAUUGGCCUUCUUUCCUCAUGCUUCAUGAUUAGGUAUUUCAUUUCUUUCUAUUAAUAGAAAUGUGGAUUAAUUGUUACAUCCUAGUUGACUCUUUUGCUGUUAGAAAUUUGUCAUCUUGAAGUAUGGGUAAUCUGGGAAGAGCCUGCCUUCUGUCCUCUUGAAUCAUGAUAAUCUUCUUGGUCUUAACCUGAACUUCUCUUCUACUUGAGAUAUUUACUGGAAAAAAAAGAAGAUCAAGAGCCAUGUUGACUAGAUCUCUAAUUUGCUUAUGCAUUUCAGAAUUUUGGAUCAGUAUUUUUAUUCCCCCCAGCUAUUUUCUCCAGUUAGUUACGUUAUCUAAUCAUUUUUGACUUCUGAUAUCAACUUGUUAUUCAUUCUAGAAAGCAUUCUGAUGUCUUAUUAAAUAAAGAACUCUAAGGUCUUGUUUAUUUUUAUAUUAAAUAAAUAGGAACAUGGACAAUCUAGAGCGUGAUUGGAUGUACAAAAGGUUGGAUGACCGAGGGGGUAUUAAUUCAAGUUUCAUAACUGGUGUGAACAAGUUUCUCCAAUUCUUGCGUAGUCUUGCUCAUGGACCAUUAAUAAGCGCAAAAUGUUAUCCGGUGUAUUUUGUUAACGGAUACAAAUUUCACACGGAAUGUCAUGGUAGUGAAAAGAUCAACAAUUAAUAGUGGAGUUUGUAUCUCGGAUCCAAAUGUUGGUGACUAUUUUGGAUGAAUACAAGAGAUUAUACAAUUGGAAUACCGUGAAGAACCUUUAAAGCAAACUGUGUUAUUCAAGUGUGAAUGGUUUGAUCCAACUGUGAAUGUUGGUGUCAAGGAGCAUAACCAAUACAAAUUAGUCGAUGUGAACCAUCACCGUCAUUUUAGAAUAGGUUCUGCUACCCCUCUUCCAGCUCCAGAUAUGCCUUGAGGUAGAGGUCGAGGUAGCGCAGGCCGUGUAGGUAAAUCUUCAGUUAGGGGUAAUUUUGCUACUGGUGAAAAUAUGCCCCCUGUUCCCAUUCCCAUAAUCAAUCCUCAACAAGGUGGUACGAGUUCCUCAGGUGGACCAGAUCACAUCAAUGAAGUUCAAACAUUAGGUCCUAGUAGUACGCCAAACAUCAGGCCAUGGUAGUACCCCAACUAUUAAUUUGGAACCAUCUCCAAAUACCCCUAAUCAGAGCAACACAAUAGGCGAGGGUACAUCUGCUCAAAGCAACAUAAUAGGCGAAACUGAGUGUAGCAGUACCCGCGGGCCGCGGAAGCUUCUUACUAUUUCUCCUACAGGGUUAGAGCCUUCAUAUGAAUGCUCUGAGUAUAUAACUAAGUCUUUCAAGAAUGAACUUGAUCCUAAUGGAGUCAACUGGAAAAGCGUCUCAAAUGAGAUAAAAAAAUUUUAUUUUGGAGAAUUCAAGAAGGUAUUCUACUGGGAUUCUUCGAUUGAUAGUGCGGUGCGAUCCAAUGAGAGUGUAGGGCAGCAAAAAGAUACAGUGAUUUUGUUAGCAAACUGAAAUCAAAUCAAGUGCAACUUGACACUAUUCCAAAUAAUGUAUGGUAAAAUUGGUUGAGACUUUGGAAAGAUCCUAAGUGUGUUGAAAAGUCAAAAAUAAAUGCAAAAAAUCGUUGUGCUGGGAGCGGAGUUGCCACUGGGACUCACACAGGUGUCUCUAUCAAUGUUGGGGAGCAUCGCAAGAGACUUCUGCAGAACAAGCUGACUUAAUAAACCAAAUCCGUUUUUCUUUCAAACACAACCUUCCAAGUGCUGGUCUUGUGAUACAUCUCUUACUUAAGAGAAUGCACCAGAGUGAAAAUUCUGGCAGAAUGAUUGAGAAGCUGCUUAAUUGAAUAACUUUUGUAUAAGCCCUUAAAAAGGGUCGAGAUCCAACACCAAGUGAGUUACAUUUGCACGUCCAUACACAUGGUAAUGAUGGGAAAUCUUUUGUUGCUGAGAAAUCCCGGAUCAUACAUGAGAUAUUACAACAACAAACACACUCAAUCUGAUAUUGAUCAAUGUAAAGCAUAUUAUCAAGCCGUGGGAGGAGAAAAGAAAAGAAGAGUAUAUGGUCUUGGAUCUCAAGCAAAAUGCUACUACGGGCCAAAUCUUCAUGGCUCUUUUGGAUCUGAUGCUGCAUCGUCAGCAACACCUCCAAAUGCUCAAUCAACACCGACAGGGAAUCUGGAUGAGUUAGUGAUGAGAUUGAUUCUUGCACUAACGGAUCAUAUAGUUCCUGUAAUCGUUUAGCGGGUACGCGAAUUAGUUUCCUUACCCUCGUAUCAGCCAAAUACUGAUCUUACCAACCACCCAUUAGAUGCGGCACCUACAGUUCUUACAUCUUCUACUGCUGCUAACAUUGAUGAGGUUCAUGCAUUGGGUUCUGAUGAUGACCGUAACUCUCCAGCCUCGCAUAGUUGGCCUACUUUGUUUGGACUUUAUUGUUGGUCCUUGUGGAUUUUUUGUACUUAACGAGACUGUUAUAUGCAUUAUGUUAUAUAUUUUGGACCUUGUUGAAUAUAUUGUUAAUUUAUAUUAAUAUCAAUGACUUUUUAUUAUGUGUA